CAACCACCGUCCACCACCACAACCCUCACUGCCAUCGCCACACUACCCAUCAUCAACCUCAACCAGCAAACCAUCCCACCCCAGCCAAGCACGAUAAGAGUAAGGAACACCACUAAUGAUAACGAGUCGGUACAUUCAGGGGGUGAUGACGGUGACGGCAGAGCAUCCAGGGCAUCCAAGACAGGUCUUACUGCAAGACCACGUAGACUAUGUAAGACCACCACACCAUCUCCUGCAGUAGUCAUCCAGGACAGGUCUUACUGCAAGACCACGUCGACUAUGUAAGACCACCACACCAUCUCCUGAAGUAGUCAUCCAGGACAGGUCUUACUGCAAGACCACGUCGACUAUGUAAGACCACCACACCAUCUCCUGAAGUAGUCAUCCAGGACAGGUCUUACUGCAAGACCAUGUCGACAGCCUAAGACCGCUGCACCAUCUCAAGAAGUUAAGAUCAAAACAUUACAGUCAUCCUUGAUAAGAGUUCAUAAUUUUCUCUAAUGAUUAUUUUUAUUUAAGCAACAGCUGAAAAAAUAUAUAAUUAUAAUGUUUAGAAAUUAAUUAGUUCACCCACAAUCAAUUUACAACAAAGAAGAAAAUACGGCCUAUUAUGAAAAAUAUUAAACAAAGAUUAAAUUAAAAUUUACUUCAUUAGUUGUGGUAACUUAAGAGAUAGGAAAUAUAACUUAGAUAUAUUAAUAAAAGAUCUAAAUUUACCAGUUUAAAUUUAAUGGAUUAAAUGUCACUGUUUUUGUAUUAAAACGAUUAUUUUAUGUGAAAAAGUUAUCAAUAAAAUAAAAUAUUGCUAAAGGCUAUUACAAAUUAUUUAUUACGUAAUAUGAUCAUUUUCUAAAUAGAAAACAAAUCUCAUAAGCUUUAUAGCUUUCCAGAAAACACAUUAGACAAACAUGUGCAUAAGAUGAGUCGCCUACUUACAGAAGACAGUAGCACACCAGUGAUAUCAACAUAUGCAAGACACCUGUAUAUAUGUGACAAUAUAAUGAGAAAGAUGUGUAAGCGAUAAACAAUUGUAAACCAUAAAAUGACAAAAUAUCCAAGAUGUCAA